GUGGGUAGUUUGACUGGGGCGGUCUCCUCCCAAAGAGUAACGGAGGAGCACGAAGGUUGGCUAAUCCUGGUCGGACAUCAGGAGGUUAGUGCAAUGGCAUAAGCCAGCUUGACUGCGAGCGUGACGGCGCGAGCAGGUGCGAAAGCAGGUCAUAGUGAUCCGGUGGUUCUGAAUGGAAGGGCCAUCGCUCAACGGAUAAAAGGUACUCCGGGGAUAACAGGCUGAUACCGCCCAAGAGUUCAUAUCGACGGCGGUGUUUGGCACCUCGAUGUCGGCUCAUCACAUCCUGGGGCUGAAGUAGGUCCCAAGGGUAUGGCUGUUCGCCAUUUAAAGUGGUACGCGAGCUGGGUUUAGAACGUCGUGAGACAGUUCGGUCCCUAUCUGCCGUGGGCGCUGGAGAACUGAGGGGGGCUGCUCCUAGUACGAGAGGACCGGAGUGGACGCAUCACUGGUGUUCGGGUUGUCAUGCCAAUGGCACUGCCCGGUAGCUAAAUGCGGAAGAGAUAAGUGCUGAAAGCAUCUAAGCACGAAACUUGCCCCGAGAUGAGUUCUCCCUGAGACUUAGAGUCUCCUGAAGGAACGUUGAAGACGACGACGUUGAUAGGCCGGGUGUGUAAGCGCAGCGAUGCGUUGAGCUAACCGGUACUAAUGAACCGUGAGGCUUAACCUUACAACGCCGAAGCUGUU
rnacentral:rRNA from 1 species